GACGGUACCUGCAGAAAAAGCACCGGCUAACUACGUGCCAGCAGCCGCGGUAAUACGUAGGGUGCAAGCGUUAUCCGGAAUUAUUGGGCGUAAAGAGCUCGUAGGCGGUUUGUCGCGUCUGCUGUGAAAACUGGGGGCUCAACCCCCAGCCUGCAGUGGGUACGGGCAGACUAGAGUGCGGUAGGGGAGAUUGGAAUUCCUGGUGUAGCGGUGGAAUGCGCAGAUAUCAGGAGGAACACCGAUGGCGAAGGCAGAUCUCUGGGCCGUAACUGACGCUGAGGAGCGAAAGGGUGGGGAGCAAACAGGCUUAGAUACCCUGGUAGUCCACCCCGUAAACGUUGGGAACUAGUUGUGGGGUCCAUUCCACGGAUUCCGUGACGCAGCUAACGCAUUAAGUUCCCCGCCUGGGGAGUACGGCCGCAAGGCUAAAACUCAAAGGAAUUGACGGGGACCCGCACAAGCGGCGGAGCAUGCGGAUUAAUUCGAUGCAACGCGAAGAACCUUACCAAGGCUUGACAUAUACGAGAACGGGCCAGAAAUGGUCAACUCUUUGGACACUCGUAAACAGGUGGUGCAUGGUUGUCGUCAGCUCGUGUCGUGAGAUGUUGGGUUAAGUCCCGCAACGAGCGCAACCCUCGUUCUAUGUUGCCAGCACGUAAUGGUGGGAACUCAUGGGAUACUGCCGGGGUCAACUCGGAGGAAGGUGGGGAUGACGUCAAAUCAUCAUGCCCCUUAUGUCUUGGGCUUCACGCAUGCUACAAUGGCCGGUACAAAGGGCUGCAAUACCGUAAGGUGGAGCGAAUCCCAAAAAGCCGGUCCCAGUUCGGAUUGAGGUCUGCAACUCGACCUCAUGAAGUCGGAGUCGCUAGUAAUCGCAGAUCAGCAACGCUGCGGUGAAUACGUUCCCGGGUCUUGUACACACCGCCCGUCAAGUCAUGAAAGUCGGUAACACCUGAAGCCGGUGGCCCAACCCUUGUGGAGGGAGCCGUCGAAGGUG
rnacentral:rRNA from 1 species